rnacentral:lncRNA from 1 species
AUAUACUAGUCAAACUAUGGCUACAUUUUUCUGUCAAUGGAAUAUUAAACAUAUCACUGGCAUCCCGUAUAAUUCACAAGGACAAGCCAUUGUGAAAUGAAUGAAUAUCUCCCUAAAAUGACAAUUGAAUAAACAGAAAGAGGGAGACAAUGACUACGGGACUCCACAUAUGCAAUUGAAUCUAGCAUUAUUGUCUUUAAAUUUUUUGAGCCUGCCUAAAGGCCAGAUGCAAUCAGCAGCUGAACAGCAUCUACAGAAACCGGCUGCAGACAGAAGCAGAGCAACUGGUUUGGUGGAGAGAUCCGAUAACAGAAAGUUGGGAAAUAGGUAAAAAUAACAUGGGUAGAGGUUAUGCUUGUGUUUCUCCAGGCCAAAACCAGCAACUGAUUUGGAUACCAUCAAGACACCUGAAAUCUUGUCAUGAGCCAGAUACUGAGGAAGAGAUUUUGGGAAGAACCCAAGGACCCCCCAGUUGCAGCCAUGUCAAGACUGACAAUAAGGAAGACAUCAGUCCCAGCAAGCAACAUUCAUCGGGCACAGCCACCCAUGUGGGGCCAGAUCAAGAAGUUGACACAGAUGGCGGAAGAAAAUCUGAAGAAAGCGGAUGACCAGCUACAAUGAGUAAUCUAAUGGUAGCUAUGAUGGCUGUGCUCACCAUUGCCAUGAGUAUUCCCCCAGCACCUGCUGAAACAAAAAACAUUAUACUUAUUGGGCAUAUAUUCCUUUUCCACCAGUUUCAUGGCCAGUGACAUGGUUAGACCCCCCAGUGGAGGUAUACACUAAUGAUAGCUUUUGGAUACCUGGUUCUACAGAUGAUAGAGGCCCAUCUCACCCCCAAAAGGAGGGAACAAUUAUGAAUAUUUCGUUGGGAUUUGAGCAUUUAACUACUUGCUUGGGAAAAGCCAACAGGUGCUUACCUCCCAGUCAUCAAUCUUGGCUGGCAAUAGUGCCUGAAGGUAACAUCUCUGUGGCACAAUUACAUAUGCUUUCUGACCUUAGUAUUUAUUACAAUGAUUAUGCCCCUGUAACCAAAGUUUACCGCCCUCAAAAACCUAUCUGUAUAGUGGAUUGAACAUGUUCAGAAAAAAAUGAAGAUAUUUACUUGGGAAGAUUGUAUUGCAGGGCAAGCAAAGGUGUUGUGUAAUGAUUCAUAUGGAGUCACUAUUGAUUGGUCCCCUAAAGGGGCAUUUAUAAGGCUCACUUCUCAAUCUGUAGGUAAUGGUCACCCUGCAUCUAAAGAAAAUGAUCAGAUGGUAGACACUAUAAAAAAUACAACAAAAGUUCCUAUUAUUUGGACAUAUGGUGAUAUGGUGGAACCUCGACCCCAAAUGAUACGACCUGCUGUAGGAGCUAAACAUAAGGAAUUGUGGAAAAUAUUAAUGGCACUGAAAAAGAUAAAAGAUUUGGGAAGGGAAAUAUACUAAGCCAUCCCAAUAUAAUCCUAAUUACAUGUUAGAAUUGGCUCACAAUGAUUCAGUCUGGAUACAUAGUUGUGUCUGUCCUCCCUUUCUGCUUGUAGUGAGUGAUUUAAAACUUGAUCUCCCUAAUCAUCAUGUGACUGUCAAGAAUGUAGAUUGUUUUCUUGUGUGAAUUCUUCCUUGUAUAAUACUGAUCAUUCUAUCUUAGUGGUAAGAGCCCGAGAAGGAGUAUGGAUACCUGUAAAGCUUUCCCGUCCUUGAGAAGCCUCUCCUUCUGUGCAUAUUAUUACUGAAAUUCUUCAAAAGAUUUUGAGGCACUCUCAGGGUUUCAUUGCUACUUUAAUCAUUAUGGGAUUGAUUGCUGUCACAGCUACUGCCACGGUAGCUGGAGUUGCUUUACCAACACAGUACAAACAGCAGAUUAUGUAAAUAAUUGGCAGAAAAAUUCUACUUUGCUGUGGAAUUCCCAAACUAAUAUACACCAGAAAUUAACCAAUCAGAUUAAUGAUCUCCGACAAACUAUCGUAUGGUUGGGAGAUCAUGUAGUUAGUUUAAAAUAUAGAAUGCAGUUAACAAUGUGAUUGAAAUACUUCUGAUUUUUGCAUUACUCCUCACCUGUAUAAUGAAACAGAGCAUGAGUGGGAAAGAGUUAAGAGACAUUUAAAGGAUCAUACUGGAAAUUUAUCUUUGGAUAUUGCAAAACUGAAGGAACACAUAUUUCAAGCCUCUCAGGCACAUCUGACAUUAAUGACAGGAACUAAAGUGCUUGAAGGAGCUGCAGAUGGAUUAGCAGCUAUUCACCCAUACAAGUGGAUCAAGACACUUGGAGACUUUGUGAUUUCAAUGAUGAUUGUGCCUUUAAUCUGUAUUGUUUGUCUUUGUGUAGUCUGCAGAUGUGGAUCCCGAAUCCUGCGAGAAGUAGCCCACCAUGACGAAGCUGCCUUUGCUUUUAUCGCUUUGCAAAAACAGAAAAGGGGACAUGCUGGGAACAGGCCCUAAGCCUGUCAUAAACAGGCCUUAAACUGACCAUGAACAGGAUUUCUGCACGAAUGUGACGUGCUCCUGAUGGCUAUGACGCCCACUGCUAGAAGUUGUUAGUUUACUGGAGCAGGGUAGGGAACACCUGGCCCACCCGGAGCGGAAAACUGCUCAAACCACAAACAACAGCAUGAGUGGCCUGAGCCUUAACAACAUGUUUUUGCUGCAGAUAAUCGGCCAGAGACUGUUUCUCUACUCCUCUCUAAGUAUGCUUUGUUUUUCGUAAGGAAUGCUUUUAGCUAAUCUGUAACCUAUAGAAACAAUGCUUAUCACUGGCUUGCUGUCAAUAAACAUGUGGGUCAAACUCUGUUUGUGGCUCUCAGCUCUCAAGGCUGUUUUCCCCCUGAUUCCCACUUUGCACUUUAUUUCUGUGUGUUUGUCUUCAUUCCUCUAGCACCACUGGGUUGGGGUCUCCUUGACCAAGCUGGUCUCGGCACAUAUGCAUGUAUGCCCAGGUCCUGAAAUCAGCCUUGUGGAGCCUGUGGGUAGGAAAAGUCAACCCUCUGUGCAUGUAGGCCUGGAACCUGACCAAUACUGUAUUUUCCUACCACGUUUGGUUUCAAAUGUGGAAACUGCCCAUACGGACCUACUGCAUUUGUUUUUAAAAAUCCUCUGUAAGUGGACCUGCACAGUUCAGGCCCAGAUUGUUCCAGGAUCAACCCUACAGUAGAAAUCAAGUAUCUUUUUCAUUGUCUCUUGGGAUCUGCCUUUUCACCAAUAAAAUAUGAGGGCUGUUGGGAGCAGGCCCCCCCAAAUCUGGCCAUAAACUGUCCCCAAAACUGGCCAUAAACAAAAUCUCUGCAGCACUAUAACAUGUUCAUAAUGGCCAUAACGCCCAAGUUGGAAGGUUGUGGAUUUACAGGAAUGAGGGCAAGGAACACCUGGCCUGCCCAGGGUGGAAAACCACUUAAAGGCAUUCUUAAGCCACAAACAAUAGCAUGAGUGAUCUGUGCCUUAAGAACAUGCUCCUGCUGCAGUUAACUAGCCCAACAUAUUCCUUUAAUUCAGUCCAUCCCUUCGUUUCCCAUAAGGGAUACUUUUAGUUAAUUUAAUAUCUAUAGAAAGAAUGCUAAUGACUGGUUUGCUGUUAAUAAAUACGUGGGUAAA